CAUUUGUUCCCUAAAUAGGGACUUGUAUGAACGGCCACACGAGGGCUUUACUGUCUCUUACUUCCAAUCCGUGAAAUUGACCUUCCCGUGAAGAGGCGGGAAUAUAAUAAUAAGACGAGAAGACCCUAUGGAGCUUUAAUUAACCGACCCAAAGAGACCAUAUGAACCAACCGACAGGAACAACAAACCUCUAUAUGGGCCGGCAAUUUAGGUUGGGGUGACCUCGGAGAAUAAAACAACCUCCGAGUGAUUUAAAUCUAGACUAACCAGUCGAAAGUAUCACAUCACUUAUUGAUCCAAAAACCUUGAUCAACGGAACAAGUUACCCUAGGGAUAACAGCGCAAUCCUAUUUCAGAGUCCAUAUCGACAAUAGGGUUUACGACCUCGAUGUUGGAUCAGGACAUCCCGAUGGUGCAGCAGCUAUCAAAGGUUCGUUUGUUCAACGAUUAAAGUCCU
rnacentral:rRNA from 1 species